rnacentral:rRNA from 1 species
AGAGAGAGACAUGCGCGCAUAUCAAUAAGCGGAGGAAAAGAAACUAACAAGGAUUCCCUUAGUAACGGCGAGUGAAGCGGGAAGAGCUCAAAUUUGAAAUCUUCAAGGUUCUACCUUGACGAAUUGUAGUUUAUAGAAGUGUUUUCUGUUAGUGGAGUGGCAAAAGUUCUUUGGAAUAGGACAAUCAUAGAGGGUGAGAAUCCCGUAUUUGGUCAUUCCUCCUAGCGUUGUGAUACACUUUCAACGAGUCGGAUUGUUUGGGAAUGCAGGUCCAAAAUGGGUGGUAAAUUUCAUCUAAAGCUAAAUAUUGGCGAGAGACCGAUAGCGAAUAAGUACCGUGAGGGAAAGAUGAAAAGAACUUUGAAAAGAGAGUUAAACAGUACGUGAAAUUGUCAAAAGGGAAGCGUUUGACACCAGUGUUGUUUUUCCGAAAAUCAAUUACGAAUGUUUUAGUUUUUGAGGAGUUAUGACUUCAUCGGCUUGCUCCUUUCUUUACGAAACUUUCUUAAUGCACUUUUCGGUUAACAAGUCAACAUCAAUUUCUUUUGUUGUAAAAGGGUAUGAGGAAGGUGGCUUUCUUUUCGGAGAAAGUGUUUAUAGCCUUGUGCCUCUGCAAUCGGAGAGAUUGAGGUCUGCAGCGUAGAUCCUUCGGGGUUAGAUACGUUUGUGCUAAGUUAUAGCUUUUCAUAGACAACUUGUUGACUAUGUUUAGUCUUGUAGCUUACUCGCUGACGCUAUUUUACCUACGCUUAGGAUGUUGAUAGUCACAGCGUGUAC